ensembl:lncRNA
UCUGUCUUUUCUUAGUACGACCAUGUAACUUGGACAAUUGUUCCGCCUCUAAUUAUUUUUAAACUGCACUGAAAAUCACUAAUGUUAUUUCUAGUGAUGUGCCUGCAGUUGAUAUCCUGAAAAUUUGAACAUUCCCUGCGAAAUCCUGGUUCCAAUAGAGUUAAGAAAAUGUUCCUGUUGAGGUGAUUCUCCUAUAUGGGAUGUUCUCCUGAGUCAUUCAAUUGAAGUGAAAGUGACAGUCCUGUUUAGUGAUCUUAUUUCAAGAAUUGGGAUGCCAAGUCCUUUUCCAUUGGUGUUGGAGCUAAUUUCUGCUGAGACCGUAAUAACACAUGAAGUCAAGGUGGUGUCACUGCCUGAAAGGAAGAAUACACAGAAUAAAAAGGCAUUGAAGAACCUGUAUAGAUACAAUUUUUCUUCAGAAAUGAUUUUGUUGUUCUUUUGGGCUGCAGCUGGAAGGAAGUGUUGCUCUUUUCAGACACAUAAUCUAAAAGCAUCUGAAAAAGCAAAGAAUUCUCUCCAGCUUUUCAAAGUGAGCAUAUGGGCAUUGUAUGGAUAUCACAACUACAUCUUAUUAUCCAGCUGCUAUUUGUGUGUAAAUCGGGAACAGCUGCAUGGUUGGCCGGCUGGAACACACUGAAUCAACCAGGUGCUUACAUAAAAAUAUUUCUGAAUAGUUUUAGUCAAUCCCCAUUUUAUUUAGACAGUUACUGUUCCUCACAGAAGAUCAUCGAGACAUCAAGAUAGCAGUUAGAAAGCAGUUUGAAUUAAUAGAAAUAUGGAAACUGUCUAGAGGGGGGGAAAGGGAGCUCACUCUUUCUUCUCUACCUUUACAGAUCGAGAAUUGGGUGGAUUGGGAUUAAAAAAAAAGUCUGGGUGGGUUUAGCAUCCUUGAAAAUGCCAAAAAUGGAGUAAUUGGCUGACAGGUACGGACUGUAGAUGGGGCUCUUUCAUCACUGCCCUCAGUGAAUGAAAUUCUUUUCCUUCCACAUUCAAACCUAAUAUAAGCUUUUUGAUUUCACCCCAGAUGGUUUCACCUUUGAGCUAAGAAGCAGUAAGGUAUGUAUAAUUGGAGCAAAUCAUUCAAUUCCCUUUAAAAAGCAACACAUUAAGCAUGCACAAAUUUUAAAAAGGACAAUUAUAAAGAAACAUCUUUUUAAAAGUGCUUUUGCAGUGAACAAAAAAAAAUAUUUUUUCAUGCUUCUGUGCAAAGUGGGUGGCUACAAAGCAUGUGCAUAGCUUUCUGGAGAUACAAUACAAAAGGGACGAUAAUAAUAACCUUUUUCUGUCACCAGAGAGAGUGCACAAAGAUUUCAUCAGCAUUUUGCACAGUAUGAUAAAAAAUGCAUUAAAUCCUCAACAUCAAUGGAGGUUCAAAGUGAAACAGAACGAAGCAGAAUAAGGCACCCAUAAAGAAAAGAAAUAGCUAAAUGAUAUUAAGGAAGCCAAGAUAACUGCAAAAUUAACAACACAAUAUCUUAUAGAGUCUGCUUCUGCUAACAAAAGACAAUCUUUACCACCUAGCAUCUCCAUUCAGUCCUGGAAAAAAAAAGGUAAUUACAUUCUGGAAUGAACAAAAUAGUAAAGGCAUGGUUUUACGAUGAUAAUUUUAAAUUUGAAGAUACUUGAACUCUGACCUUUCAAUAUAAAGAGAGAUUUGCUGUCUCUACCAACACCACGAUGUUGAAUGAUGCUAAAGGCAGUUUGAAGCCCAGAAUAGGUCCCUGACUACAUUUCUUGAUGUAUUAUUGUCCUCGUAUUGAUGACUUGAUGGCUAUUCUUGGGGGAGAAGUUUGCAGGCUGCCUUGAUGGAAGCAGAGCCCUUUGGGGCACGGUCACAUGCAGCACAGAGCGAGCCAUCAGGAUACAAUACAUCGGUGCAAUGGCACCACUGGCCAGAAAAGGCAUGAAGGGAUUUCCUGGAAAGUGGGAUCCCCUUUGGAAAGACUCCCCUAUCCCUUGCUGAAAAUAAAAUUUGUAAGGUUUAUUCA